UACGUAGGGGGCAAGCGUUGUCCGGAUUUAUUGGGCGUAAAGCGCGUGUAGGCGGCCACGCAGGUCCGCUGUGAAACUCGAGGCUCAACCUCGAGCUGUCGGUGGAAACCGCGUGGCUAGAGUCCGGAAGAGGGGACUGGAAUUCCCGGUGUAGCGGUGGAAUGCGCAGAUAUCGGGAGGAACACCCGUGGCGAAGGCGGGUCCCUGGGACGGUACUGACGCUGAUGCGCGAAAGCGUGGGGAGCGAUCCGG
rnacentral:rRNA from 1 species